rnacentral:rRNA from 1 species
GCGCGGCCACGCCCACCGCACCUCAUCUGCAAUGUAUGUGUGGUACCAUCUUUCGUGUUACAAGCUGACGUACUAGGUGUCGCGGGUACCGCUGUCCAAGUGGGAAAGAAGUGUUUUAUGGCUAAUAUCCCUGAUACUUGACGGUACCCCUAAAGGAAGCACCGGCUAACUCCGUGCCAGCAGCCGCGGUAAUACGGGGGGUGCAAGCGUUGUUCGGAAUUAUUGGGCGUAAAGCGCGUGUAGGCGGUUUGAUUAGUCUGAUGUGAAAGCCCUGGGCUCAACCCAGGAAGUGCAUUGGAAACUGUCAGACUUGAAUACGGGAGAGGGUAGUGGAAUUCCUAGUGUAGGAGUGAAAUCCGUAGAUAUUAGGAGGAACACCGGUGGCGAAGGCGGCUACCUGGACCGAUAUGGACGCUGAGACGCGAAAGCGUGGGUAGCAAACAGGAUUAGAUACCCUGGUAGUCCACGCCGUAAACGAU